ensembl:misc_RNA Metazoa_SRP Metazoan signal recognition particle RNA
GCUGGGCAUGGUGGUGCAUGCCUAUAGUCCCAGCUACUCAGGAGGCUGAGGUGGGAGGAUUGCUUGAGCCCAGGAGUUCAAGGCUGCAGUGACUAUGAUCAUACCACUGCACUCCAGCCUGGGCCACAGAGCAAGACCUUGUCUCAA